rnacentral:tRNA from 19 species
CUCAGUCGGUAGAGCAGGGGACUGAAAAUC